rnacentral:lncRNA from 1 species
CCAUAAACUUCAAACCGAAUGUAACGAGAGUUCUCACUGAGCAAGGAAAAUGAAGUCAAGCUAGAGGAAAAGUGGUUCAUAUUUUUUAGAUGGGACUAUGAAAAAUUUAAGCCAACUCACAUGGCAUUUUAGAGAUGCUCAGUUCCAGACAAUGUGGAGAUACUGUGUGAGACCUCUGUCAAAGGUGGAAUGCUUCACUCUACGAGAAAUCCAGCACCUCUGAGCUGACAUGAUCCCCUUGGUGGAGGGGAUGCCCAAAGAGUGCCUGCCACACGCACAGCCGAGAUUCACGGGUGUGACCAGGCUAGUGCUUCCAAGGACAGAGACGUUCUGGCCUCCUGACGUCUGGAGUCUGAGCCUCUCCCAGUCCGGGAACAUACCCAUUAGAAGAGUCCCUCCAGUGGGUGAGCUGAGAAGUUUAAAGAGGCUUCCUUCAAACCAGGAUCAUAAAAAUAGUUAUCCAUAUUUUCUUCUAUUAAUUUCAAGCCUUCAAGAUAACUUUUAAAUUGUUGAUCCGUCUGGAAUUUAUUUUGGUAUAAAAGUAAGGAAAACAAAUUACAAAAGUAACCUAUGCUUGCUAUAACAAAGUCAAACAAUACAGACAUGUGGAGAAUAAGCCUUGACAACCUCUCUCUCUUCCCCUUUAACAACACAUCCCAGAGGAAACUCCAAUCAGCUGCUUGUUGAGCGUCCAUCCUUUCAGAUGUUCUCCCAUUCUUAUGCAUAAAAGCGUUUCAUGAAGAAGAG